GGAGAGGUGGCCGAGUGGUCGAAGGCGCACGCCUGCUAAGCGUGUGUAGGGGCUUAAACCUCUACCGAGGGUUCGAAUCCCUCCCUCUCCG
rnacentral:tRNA from 1 species